UUACCCGUGAACCUGGUCAGAGCCGGAAGGCAGCAGCCACAGCGGGAACAUUGUGUGCCGGGGUGUGGCUGGUGGGG
rnacentral:SRP_RNA from 1 species